UAAUACCAGCUCUCCGAGUGGUGGGGGUGAUUAUUGGGCUUAAAGCGUUCGUAGCCGGCUUGACAAGUUCUCCGUUAAAUCCAACGAUCUAAUCGUUGGGCCGCGGGGGAUACUGUUAGGCUAGGGGGCGGGAGAAGCUGACGGUACUUCCAGGGUAGGGGUGGAAUCCUAUAAUCCUGGGAGGACCACCAGUGGCGAAGGCGGUCAGCUAGAACGCGCUCGACGGUGAGGGACGAAAGCUGGGGGAGCAAACCGGCUUAGAUACCCGGGUAGUCCCAGCUGUAAACGAUGCAGGCUAGGUGUUGGAGUGACCACGAGUCAGUCCAGUGCCGCAGGGAAACUGUUAAGCCUGCCGCCUGGGGAGUACGGUCGCAAGACUG
rnacentral:rRNA from 1 species